GAUGAACGCUGGAGCUGAAAAGUAACACAUGCAAGUCGAGCGAUUUACUUCGGUAAAGAGCGGCGGACGGGUGAGUAACGCGUGGGUAACUUGCCCCUGUACACGCGGAUAACAUACCGAAAGGUAUGCUAAUACUAGAUAAUAUGCUUUUAUCGCAUGGUAGAACUAUCAAAGCUUUUGCGGUACAGGAUGGACCCGCUUCUGAUUAUCUAGUUGGUGAGGUAACGGCUCACCAAGGCGACCAUCAGUAUCCGACCUGAUAGGGUGAUCGGCCACUUUGUAACUGAGACACGGCCCAAACUCCGACGGGAGGCAUAAGGGGGGAACAUUGCAUUUUCUUGCGAAAGCCUGAUGCAGCCACGCCGCGUGAGCGACGAAUGGCUUCGGGUGGGGAACUUCUGUCCUCCCGGAAGAUAAUGACCUUACUUGAGGAGGAAGCCCCGGAUAACUA
rnacentral:rRNA from 1 species